UACUCCUACGGGAGGCAGCAGUGGGGAAUAUUGGACAAUGGACCGAGAGUCUGAUCCAGCAAUUCUGUGUGCACGAUGAAGUUUUUCGGAAUGUAAAGUGCUUUCAGUUGGGAAGAAAGAAAUGACGGUACCAACAGAAGAAGUGACGGCUAAAUACGUGCCAGCAGCCGCGGUAAUACGUAUGUCACGAGCGUUAUCCGGAUUUAUUGGGCGUAAAGCGCGUCUAGGUGGUUAUGUAAGUCUGAUGUGAAAAUGCAGGGCUCAACUCUGUAUUGCGUUGGAAACUGUAUAACUAGAGUACUGGAGAGGUAAGCGGAACUACAAGUGUAGAGGUGAAAUUCGUAGAUAUUUGUAGGAAUGCCGAUGGGGAAGCCAGCUUACUGGACAGAUACUGACGCUGAAGCGCGAAAGCGUGGGUAGCAAACAGGAUUAGAUACCCUGGUAGUCCACGCCGUAAACGAUGAUUACUAGGUGUUGGGGGUCGAACCUCAGCGCCCAAGCAAACGCGAUAAGUAAUCCGCCUGGGGAGUACGUACGCAAGUAUGAAACUCAAAGGAAUUGACGG
rnacentral:rRNA from 1 species